rnacentral:misc_RNA from 1 species
UCCGAGUUGUCCCCGGCAGUCCUCUUAGAGUCCCCGGCAUUACCCGCUGGCAACUAAGAGCAGGGGUUGCGCUCGUUGCGGCACUUAAGCCAACACCUCACGGCACGAGCUGACGACAGCCAUGCAGCACCUGUGCUAGCCCCUUACGGACACGGGCUUUCACCCGCUUUCCGGUAUAUGUCAAACCCAGGUAAGGUUCUUCGCGUUGCAUCGAAUUAAACAACAUGCUCCGCUGCUUGUGCGGGUCCCCGUCAAUUUCUUUGAGUUUUAACCUUGCGGCCGUACUCCCCAGGCGGAGAACUUAACGCGUUAGCUGCGCCACCGAGACGCCAAGCGCCCCGACAGCUAGUUCUCAUCGUUUACGGCGUGGACUAC